GGGUGCCUGAUUCUGUCCGGAUCAGGCUAUGUUUUCCCUGUUCCGGAUAGAAGAAAGCCCCGAUUACGUUUUUCAACAUAAACCGGGGCUGAAUCUCUACCAAACAAUAGGGAUUUUGCCUCCUUAAAUUAAAGGAGUCAAGAGAAAUGACCGGAAG
rfam:Morganella morganii subsp. morganii KT, complete genome.